UACGUAGGGACCGAGCGUUGUCCGGAUUCAUUGGGCGUAAAGAGCUCGUAGGCGGCCACUCAAGUCGAAUGUGAAACCUCGAGGCUUAACCUCGAGCCUGCAUUCGAUACUGGGCGGCUAGAGUCUGGUAGGGGGAUCUGGAAUUCCUGGGUGUAGCGGUGGAAUGCGCAGAUAUCAGGAGGAACACCGGUGGCGAAGGCGGGAUCCUGGGCCAGUACUGACGCUGAGGAGCGAAAGCGUGGGGAGCAAACAGGAUAGAA
rnacentral:rRNA from 1 species